UCUAAGUAUAAGCGACUCAGCUCGUGAAACCGCGAACGGCUCAUUAUAACAGCUAUAAUUUACUUGAUCUUGACCAUCCUACUUGGAUAACUGUGGUAAUUCUAGAGCUAAUACAUGCGCAAGAGCUCGUCGCAAGACGAGUGCAUUUAUUAGAGGAAAACCAAGCGGCCUCGGCCGUGCUUUGUUGACUCAGAAUAACUAAGCUGAUCGCAGGGUCUUGUACCGGCGACGUGUCUUUCAAGUAUCUGCCUUAUCAACUUUCGAUGGUAGUGUAUCUGACUACCAUGGUGGUGACGGGUAACGGAGGAUCAGGGUUCGACUCCGGAGAAGGGGCCUGAGAAAUGGCCACUACGUCUAAGGAUGGCAGCAGGCGCGCAAAUUACCCACUCUCGGCUUGAGGAGGUAGUGACGAGAAAUAACGAGACCGUUCUCUACGAGGCCGGUCAUCGGAAUGGGUACAAUGUAAACCCUUUAACGAGUAUCUAUGAGAGGGCAAGUCUGGUGCCAG
rnacentral:rRNA from 1 species